rfam:Schistosoma rodhaini strain Burundi genome assembly, scaffold: SROB_scaffold0015600
AUCCAGCCAACGAGUCCUAAAUAGGACGGAACACACGUCCUGGAU